rnacentral:lncRNA from 1 species
GGCUCGUCCCGCCAAAACCCCGAGCCCCAAACCCUAGCCAGGGCGCCAUGUCCGUCGCGUCCGCGGCGGCUUCCCUCGUCGCCUCCACCUCGCUCUCCGUCCCCGACCACCUCCGCCUCCGCCGCUUCCGCCUCCACCCGCGGCCCCCGCCUCCCCCGCUCCCGUGCUUCCGCCGGCGAUCGCGGGGCUGCGUCGCGCGCGCCGUCCUCGAGGACCGCGCGCCCCCGCCGGCCGAGGAGGACGCCAAGCGCUACGGGCUCAACGGGAACGGGAGCGGCGUCGGGUACGACGAUGCCGCCGUCCAGGCGUACCUCGGGAGCAACGGGAACGGAAAUGGGAGCGCUAGCGCUAGCGGGAGCGGCAACGGCGCGGCGGUGAAGCAGAAGCAGCCUGAGGAGUCGACACCGAUAAGCGCGGCCGUGGUUCCCGUACCGCCGGGGGAUGAUGAGAGGCGCAGGAAGGAGAGGGUGGAGGAGAUCGGAAAGGAGGAUGCCUGGUUCAAGCAGAGCAGCGGGGAUUUGCCUGAGGUGAGUUGUCUUUGCUCGUCAAUUGUCAUCUGCAUCGAUGCAUGUGUUGUCCAGCGCCAGUUCUAAGUGCG